UCCGGUUUGUCACCGGCAGUCUCCCUAGAGUGCCCUUGCGUAGCAACUAGGGACAAGGGUUGCGCUCGUUGCGGGACUUAACCCAACAUCUCACGACACGAGCUGACGACAGCCAUGCAGCACCUGUGUUCCGGUUCUCUUUCGAGCACCCCCGCCUCUCUGCGAGGUUCGCUACAAGUCAAGGGUAGGUAAGGUUUUUCGCGUUGCAUCGAAUUAAUCCACAUAAUCCACCGCUUGUGCGGGUCCCCGUCAAUUCCUUUGAGUUUUAACCUUGCGGCCGUACUCCCCAGGCGGUCAACUUCACGCGUUAGCUGCGGUACUGAGAAAUCGCUUCCCCAACACCUAGUUGACAUCGUUUAGGGCGUGGACUAC
rnacentral:misc_RNA from 1 species